UACGGAGGGGGCUAGCGUUGUCCGGAAUUAUUGGGCGUAAAGAGCUCGUAGGCGGUUUGUCGCGUCUGCUGUGAAAACCCGAGGCUCAACCUCGGGCCUGCAGUGGGUACGGGCAGACUAGAGUGCGGUAGGGGAGAUUGGAAUUCCUGGUGUAGCGGUGGAAUGCGCAGAUAUCAGGAGGAACACCAAUGGCGAAGGCAGAUCUCUGGGCCGUAACUGACGCUGAGGAGCGAAAGCAUGGGGAGCGAACAGG
rnacentral:rRNA from 1 species